GUCUGGAACUUAUUGACACAGCAUUCAAUAAGUUUUUGUUGAAUGAAGGAACAAAGACAAUUAUUUUCAAGCCUCUUUUUAAAUUUAAAUUUAAAUUUAAUUUUUUUUUUAAUUCUAGAGAAAUUGUAAACUUGGAGUGCCAAUUAUAAAACAGUCCGACUUUCUGGUUGGACCAAGCAGCUAUAUUCCUGCCAAUCUGAUUUCUGCUCUGCCCCCUGGUGGUGGCCCCAGGCCUAGCGGUAGCAGGAAAACAGGUGAACAAUUUAAGGUAUUUCCGGAAACGGAGGUUGGCGACUCAGCCUUAUUUACAUACCCACAAUGCAUUGCACAAGGCUAUUUCCUACUUUAAAAAGCUGGAUUCUUCGUUUCCUUUUGACUUUUUUCCCCCCUAAAAAGACCCUGCUUUCAACAGAAUUGUCUGAUAUAGAGGCAGAAACCACUGGCUCUUUUGGGUAAAUAAUUACCAUUGCUGCUCUAGGAGUUACAGUUACCCGAGGACUGAGCGUGAUAAAUACCUGUAUACUCUAGUUUCUCUUCAGAUCGUGUAAAUCUUUCGCCUUUUACUAAAGAUUUCCGUGGAGAGGAACAAUUCUGAGUUUUUACCCAGUUUUUUGAGGCCUUGCACUUGCAAGGCUUAUAAAGCUGUACUAAAAAUAGAGUUGUGUAGUAUGUAUGAGUUUUCUCGUCAAAUAAGAAUUUAGAACCGUGUUCACUUCCGUCGUUGGUGGUGUCUUUCAUCUUUUUUUCCGUGUUAGUGGCAGUGUUUUCAAGAGAGUUUACGCGGUGACGGAUUUCAGAGGGAGUGUGUUUCGUGUUUUUUCUCGGUGCGUCCGUGUUCUGUGCAGCUGCCGUGUUCUUCCUGUGUUGUCCUGCUCCUCUGGGACCCGUUUUCUUCCCUGCGGGUCUCGUCAUUCAUUUCUGCCGCAGCACUGGCCACCAUGACCCACGUGUGCACUUCAGAGAAAAGGCUGUAACUGUCCGUUCGCCCGUCUGGCGUCGGAAGCUGACCCAGCGCCAGGAACAAAGCCCAUGUGUCGCCUGCGUAGACGGACGAAGGGCGCAUGGGUCUCUCUACCGCUCCAACGGUUCCCUUAGUGUGAAGGUCGCUCAGGGUGGUCGUUACAUCCCUACCUAGUAGGUUGUCUAGAAAAAUACUCAUGUCUCAGGCAUCCUUUGGAUUGCAGCUUGUUCUCGCGGAACGUUCUGGAGGUCAGAAGUCUAAAAUCGAGGUGUUGGUGGGACUGCAUUCUUUCUAGAUGCUGCAGGAGAGAAUGUUUCCUUGCUUUUUUUGGCUUCGAGAAGCUGCCUGCAUUCCUCGGCCGGCCCCUCUGCAUAAUCCAGGAUAAUCUCUCCGUCUCAAGACCCUUAACUUCAUCACACCUGCAAAAUCCCUUUUACCAGAUUAGCUCUGAGCUAACUACUGCCAGUCCUCCUCUUUUUUGCUGAGGAAGCCUGGCCCUGAGCUAAAAUCGUGCCCAUCUUCCUCUACUUUAUACGUGGGACGCCUGCCCCAGCAUGGCUUUUGCCAAGCGGUGCCAUGUCUGCACCCAGGAUCUGAACCGGCAAACCCCAGGCCUCCCAAGUGGAACGUGCGCACUUGACUGCUGUGCCACCGGGCUGGCCCCAUUGUUUUUCUUAAACUAUGAUCGCCUUGGACCAGUGGUUUCUAGAUGUUUUGAUUUUCCAAUUAUUAAAAUUUCCAAAAAAUUUCUGGUGUACUGCUUUUUACCAUCAUUCUACAAAAGAAAGGCCAUUUCAAGACUAAAAACAGUAAGAAUGACUUGACCCCAAAUGAAAGGACUUUUCUUUGAAACAGGAAAUCCAUUUAGCUUUAUGGAAAACACGACUAUGUUUUGUUAACUUCUCUCUCUUCCCUCGACGCAAAUAGAGGAAAGCUGAGGGUCGACAUCAGUUUGGGGAAGGCUGGGGGCGGGGGCGGGGCUUAGACUAACAAUAUCAGGGCCUGUGGUGCCCUCUUGUGGCAGCCUGGGGAGUUACUUCCACCUGACCACUGCCUCUGCUUUGGAGGGACAACUCCCUCACACACCUCAGUCAGUCAGUCAUGC
ensembl:lncRNA